rnacentral:rRNA from 1 species
CAGCAGCCGCGGUAAUACGUAGGUGGCAAGCGUUGUCCGGAAUUAUUGGGCGUAAAGGGCUCGCAGGCGGUUUCUUAAGUCUGAUGUGAAAGCCCCCGGCUCAACCGGGGAGGGUCAUUGGAAACUGGGAAACUGAGUGCAGAAGAGGAGAGUGGAAUUCCACGUGUAGCGGUGAAAUGCGUAGAGAUGUGGAGGAACACCAGUGGCGAAGGCGACUCUCUGGUCUGUAACUGACGCUGAGGAGCGAAAGCGUGGGGAGCGAACAGGAUUAGAUACCCCAGUAGUCCCUGUCUCUUAUACA